rnacentral:rRNA from 1 species
GACGGAGGGGGCUAGCGUUGUUCGGAAUUACUGGGCGUAAAGGGCGCGUAGGCGGCUAAACAAGUCAGGUGUGAAAGCCCAAGGCUUAACCUUGGAAUAGCAUUUGAGACUGUUUGGCUUGAGACCGAGAGAGGAUAGUGGAAUUCCUAGUGUAGAGGUGAAAUUCGUAGAUAUUAGGAAGAACAUCAGUGGCGAAGGCGGCUAUCUGGCUCGGUACUGACGCUAAGGCGCGAUAGCGUGGGGAGCAAACAGG